GCGUAGCAGAAAUGAUGAGGAUGAUGAUGGCAGCAGCAGCCGUUCUCCUCUGCAGUGUCCAGCUUCAUGCCGACCACAGAGCCAGCCUUCCUGAUUAGCUUCUCCAGCCUGGAUGAUCCUUCUUUGCUGAAUGCAGUGAGAUGGAGUGUGGCUUGAAACCUGGAGAACAGGAGCACCUGAGACAGAGCCAAGGAGACAACAAAGAAUGGGACUUCUUCUUUUCUCCUCCCUGGGAGGAUAAAUGGGAC